rnacentral:rRNA from 1 species
AUACGUAGGGUGCAAGCGUUAAUCGGAAUUACUGGGCGUAAAGCGUGCGCAGGCGGUUUUGUAAGACAGUGGUGAAAUCCCCGGGCUCAACCUGGGAAAUGCCAUUGUGACUGCAAGGCUGGAGUGCGGCAGAGGGGGAUGGAAUUCCGCGUGUAGCAGUGAAAUGCGUAGAUAUGCGGAGGAACACCGAUGGCGAAGGCAAUCCCCGGGGCCUGCACUGACGCUCAUGCACGAAAGCGUGGGGAGCAAACAGGAUUAGAUACCCUGGUAGUCCACGCCCUAAACGAUGUCAACUGGUUGUUGGGGAUUUAUUUUCUCAGUAACGAAGCUAACGCGUGAAGUUGACCGCCUGGGGAGUACGGCCGCAAGGUUAAAACUCAAAGGAAUUGACGGGG